rnacentral:rRNA from 1 species
CGGACGGGUGAGUAACGACGUGGAAAACCUAGCCGUAUACUGGGGGAUAACACUUAGAAAUAGGUGCUAAUACCGCAUAAGCGCACAGCUUCGCAUGAAGCGGUGUGAAAAACUCUGGUGGUAUACGAUGGUUCCGCGUCUGAUUAGCUAGUUGGUGGGGUAAUGGCCUACCAAGGCAACGAUCAGUAGCCGGCCUGAGAGGGUGAACGGCCACAUUGGGACUGAGACACGGCCCAAACUCCUACGGAAGGCAGCAG